rnacentral:rRNA from 1 species
GACGAACGCUGGCGGCGUGCUUAACACAUGCAAGUCGAACGGGCCUUGUCCCCUUUUUUUUUGGGGGUGGGGUUAGUGGCGAACGGGUGAGUAACACGUGAGUAACCUGCCCCUCACUUCUGGAUAACCGCUUGAAAGGGUGGCUAAUACGGGGUGUUCUGGCCUGCUCGCAUGGGUGGGUUUGGAAAGAUUCGACCGGUUUGGUUGUUUUGGUGGGGGAUGGGCUCGCGGCCUAUCAGCUUGUUGGGGGGGUGAUGGCCUGCCAAGGCUUUGACGGGUAGCCGGCCUGAGAGGGUGGGCGGUCACACGGGGACUGAGACACGGCCCAGACUCCUACGGGAGGCAGCAGUGGGGAAUAUUGCACAAUGGGCGCAAGCCUGAUGCAGCGACGCCGCGUGAGGGAUGGAGGCCUUCGGGUUGUGAACCUCUUUCGCCAGUGAAGAAGGUCCUGCUCUUUGUGGUGGGGUUGACGGUAGCUGGGUUAAUGAAGCGCCGGCUAACUACGUG